AUUAGAAAUUUGAUUGAUGUUGGAUGAGUAUACUAAUUGUUGGUUUAAGUUUUAUGAUAAGGGUGUAUACACAAAAUUUCGAGGCGAAAUAAAUAAGACGAGAAACAAAAUAACAAAGAAAUUAUAUUUCAAUAAAUGUAUUGAGUACAAUCUCUGUAAACAGUUUAUAAUGAAAAAUAAACUAAGUCCUCUGAUUCUGUUUCGUAGCUUGAAAGUGAUAUGUGUUGAUGUCGACGUGGAGUUGAAUGUAGACUAACCUGUUGUCAACGUCAAUUUGAGUUUGAGUGUGGGAUGACGUUUUGUCGACGUCAACCUGAGUUUGAGUUUUGUUUGGGUAUAUUCGAAUGAGGGCUGACAAAGCUUGAAUCUCAGUCGAAUAUGUUUGGGUGUAUUUGAAUAGUCGGCACAGUUUUGAUGUGCUUGUUGACUAAUUGCAGAGAGAAUUCUAAGAGAAUUUGAUGAGCUCUUGAGAAUAAUGAUUUUUCCGUCCCCUCAACUGAGAGAUGUGAGGUCUAUUUAUUAGGGAAUGGAGAUCCCUUCAUGGACUUGGUAAUUUAUGGGUUUGGGCCCGUUUAUGACUUGGAAGUCUUUUUACCUUUGCCACUUGACCACCUUAUUUGGACUAAUAAUCUGGGCUAGCCCAAUACUUUAUAACCCAAAUUGUAUUUGUUUAAUCUAAUUUGGAUAUGUAAUUUGAGUGGGCUAAAUUAAUUAAAUUGGGCUAUUCAUAUUUUUUUAGCUCAAUAAUAAUUAAUUUAUUUUCAUGUAAAACACUAAUAAAUUUUUAGUGUCUACAAAUUCCCCCCUCGAGACAGCGUCACGUACACGAUUUGAAGUGUUGAAUCGUGACAAUGUCUCGAAUUUGUGUUUGGUUUAGCAAUUAGGUGACAAUCACCAUGUUACUUGAAAUUUUUUUUUUUUUUGAUAAGGUCAUGUACUGUUUACAAUUCUAUCAAGUCGCGAAUCCAAAAACUAUAAUCAUAUUCUGAUUAGGAUUUUUUUAUUAGCCGAUCGAAACAAAUCUUAUCUUUUAGUACACCACCGUAAUCUAUAAAACCCAAUAGAGAUUUACGAUUUUUUUUUUUUUUUUUCACGCUGCAUCAGAAGCUUUUCUUUUCCUGCAUCUCAUUGUCGCACAAUAUCAAGAGAGAAAAGAAAGAGUCUUUUCAACCUGCUACCGAUAUACAAACAAGAAAUUAAUUUGAUCUACACUCUGUAGUGCUGGAUUCUUCAUCAAAGUCAUUAACUUGGGCAUCAUACCUCAACAGUACAUCAUAUUUUGCGAGAUACUGAACUUCUAGACUAUCUUUGAAGCGUUGCAGAAGCUCAAGACUAGUGAGGUGAUGAUUUUGUUACACUUUUUUUUGUCUAGAAUAUUUUGUUUGCACAGUAUCACUUUUUUGUACAUGUGUACCCGUGUAUUUUUGUGUGUGUGUGUGUAUGACAGGUUCACUUGAAGAUGAAGACGAAGGCGGGGAUUCCGUCGUGAUGGGCCACAUGUCUUUAGCACUGUGAGCCUGUCAGGGGUGUUAUUCAUAUGUCUUUAGCACUGCGACACUGACACCUCCAGACAGUCCCUUGAAGACGAAGACGAAGACGAAGGCGGGAUUCCGUCGUGAUGGGCCACAUGUCUUUAGCACUGUGAGCCUGUCAGGGGUGUUAUUCAUAUGUCUUUAGCACUGCGACACUGACACCUCCAGACAGUCCCUUGAAGACGGAGACGAAGACGAAGGCGGGGAUUCCGUCGUGAUGGGCCACAUGUCUUUAGCACUGUGAGCCUGCCAGGGGUGUUAUUCAUAUGUCUUUAGCACUGCGACACUGACACCUCCAGACAGUCCCUUGAAGACGAAGACAAAGACAGGGAUUCCGUCGUGAUGGGCCACAUGUCUUUAGCACUGUGAGCCUGUCAGGGGUGUUAUUCAUAUGUCUUUAGCACUGCGACACUGACACCUCCAGACAGUCCCUUGAAGACGAAGACGAAGACGAAGGCAGGGAUUCCGUCGUGAUGGGCCACAUGUCUUUAGCACUGUGAGCCUGUCAGGGGUAUUAUUCAUAUGUCUUUAGCACUGCGACACUGACACCUCCAGACAGUCCCUUGAAGACGAAGACGAAGGCAGGGAUUCCGUCGUGAUGGGCCACAUGUCUUUAGCACCGUGAGCCUGUCAGGGGUGUUAUUCAUAUGUCUUUAGCACUGCGACACUGACACCUCCAGACAGUCCCUUGAAGACGAAGACGAAGGCUGGGAUUCCGUCGUGAUGAGCCACAUGUCUUUAGCACUGUGACACUGACACCUCCAGACAGUCCCUUGAAGACGAAGACAUUCGACCCCUCUCCCCUUAGUCAUUAUGUUCGACCCCUCUCCCCUUAGCUAUUUGUAUGCUCCUUUCUUUUUUUUAACACGCAUUU